CAUUAAGAAGCUAUACAAGCGUUAACCUUUUAAGUUAAAAAUUAGGAGUUUAAAUCUCCUCUUAAUGA
rnacentral:tRNA from 1 species